AUGAAGCAGCUUUCGCGUAUCUUCUUGGCUUGUGACUUUGAUGGUUCCAAAAAAGAGGUGAAGGAUUGUAUUAGCACAAAGUUCAGUGAUGUCAAGGGGAUCCAUGAUGCGAAAGCCGAGCUCGAGGAUAUAGUACUGUGCCUACGGGACCCAAAGCGUCUCGGCGAUUCUGCAUACACCACGCAGUCGACGAUGCAGGGGAGCACCAGACGGAGCGCCACGGCACCCGCUGGCGCCGCCGUAGCUGGAUUACAUGCAAACACUGCAUACUUGUUUCACUCCAAUAUCUCAUACAAGCUGUAUGUAUGUACAUUGCUAAUUAAUAAUCCACCGAUGCAGGGAUUUUUUUUUCAGACGAGUAAUAAUCAAGUCUAG
rnacentral:rRNA from 1 species